UAGGGAAUCUUCCGCAAUGGACGAAAGUCUGACGGAGCAACGCCGCGUGAGUGAUGAAGGCUUUCGGGUCGUAAAACUCUGUUGUUAGGGAAGAACAAGUACGAGAGUAACUGCUCGUACCUUGACGGUACCUCACCAGAAAGCCACCGCUAACUACGUGCCAGCAGCCGCGGUAAUACGUAGGUGGCAAGCGUUAUCCGGAAUUAUUGGGCGUAAAGCGCGCGCAGGCGGUUUCUUAAGUCUGAUGUGAAAGCCCACGGCUCAACCGUGGAGGGUCAUUGGAAACUGGGGAACUUGAGUGCAGAAGAGAAAAGCGGAAUUCCACGUGUAGCGGUGAAAUGCGUAGAGAUGUGGAGGAACACCAGUGGCGAAGGCGGCUUUUUGGUCUGUAACUGACGCUGAGGCGCGAAAGCGUGGGGAGCAAACAGG
rnacentral:rRNA from 1 species